rnacentral:rRNA from 1 species
UCGAGAAUCUUCGGCAAUGGACGCAAGUCCGACCGAGCGACGCCGCGUGCGGGAUGAAGGCCUUCGGGUUGUAAACCGCUGUCAGUGGGGAGGAAAUUCGGGAGGGUUCUCCCUUUCGAUUGACCUAUCUUCAGAGGAAGUGCGGGCUAAGUUCGUGCCAGCAGCCGCGGUAAGACGAACCGCACGAACGUUCUUCGGAAUUACUGGGCUUAAAGGGUGCGUAGGCGGUCCGGCAAGUUGGGUGUGAAAGCCCUCGGCUCAACCGAGGAACUGCGCUCAAAACUACCGGACGUGAGGGAGAUAGAGGUGAGCGGAACUUAGGGUGGAGCGGUGAAAUGCGUUGAUAUCCUAAGGAACACCAGUUGCGAAGGCGGCUCACUGGGUCUUUUCUGACGCUGAGGCACGAAAGCUAGGGGAGCGAAGA